rnacentral:misc_RNA from 1 species
AAAGUCGUAACAAGGUUUCCGUAGGUGAACCUGCGGAAGGAUCAUUACCGAAUGACCCCGUACCCUCUUGUAGUUGAACAUUGCCCAUAAUCAACUCUUCACUGGAAUCUGAUGAAAUGGGGGUGACGCCACUUGAAGAUCUCACCUCGCCGGUCAGACCCUCUUGAUGCCCAUCUGCCUGAUGCCGGUUAUGUCCAUGUGUCAUCCGCAUGGGCACUAAGUCAAGAGAUCAACUCUGCCGGUUAGAUGUCAGACCCCCGGCGGGUUGACACUGGGUCUUGGUCUACUCCGUCUUUCUAACUAACAAAUCCGUCCUUGUAUGGCUAGCCCUAAGUAUGUAAAAUAUAACUUUCAACAACGGAUCUCUUGGCUCUC